AAUUCGAUUAGUUUGAUCAUGGCUCAGAAUCAACGCUGGCGGCGUGCCUCAGUCAUGCAAGUCGAACGCGAAAGUCCCCUUCGGGGGGCAAGUAGAGUGGCGCACGGGUGAGUAACACGUAGGUAAUCUACCUUCGGAUGGGGAAUAACAAUCGGAAACGGUUGCUAAUACCGCAUAAUGCAGCGGCACCUAAUGGUGACAGUUGUUAAAGCGGGGGAUCGAAAGACCUCGCGUCUGAGGAGGAGCCUGCGGCGGAUUAGCUAGUUGGUAAGGUAAUGGCUUACCAAGGCAACGAUCCGUAACCGGCCUGAGAGGGCGGUCGGUCACACUGACACUGACAUACGGGUCAGACUCCUACGGGAGGCAGCAGUCGGGAAUUUUGGGCAAUGGGCGAAAGCCUGACCCAGCAACGCCGCGUGAAGGAUGAAAUCCCUCGGGAUGUAAACUUCGCAAGAACGGGAAGAAUAAGUAGGGGACAAUACCCCCUAUGAUGACGGUACCGUUUGUAAGCUCCGGCUAACUCCGUGCCAGCAGCCGCGGUAAUACGGGGGGAGCAAGCGUUGUUCGGAUUUACUGGGCGUAAAGGGCGCGUAGGCGGCCAGCACAAGUCAGUUGUGAAAUCUCCGAGCUUAACUCGGAAAGGUCAACUGAUACUGUGCGGCUAGAGUGCGGAAGGGGCAACUGGAAUUCUUGGUGUAGCGGUGAA
rnacentral:rRNA from 1 species